UACGAAGGGGGCUAGCGUUGCUCGGAAUCACUGGGCGUAAAGCGCACGUAGGCGGCUUGCUAAGUCAGGGGUGAAAUCCUGGAGCUCAACUCCAGAACUGCCUUUGAUACUGGCGAGCUUGAGUCCGGGAGAGGUGAGUGGAACUGCGAGUGUAGAGGUGAAAUUCGUAGAUAUUCGCAAGAACACCAGUGGCGAAGGCGGCUCACUGGCCCGGUACUGACGCUGAGGUGCGAAAGCGUGGGUAGCAAACAGG
rnacentral:rRNA from 1 species